GAUCACCCACCGAUCCUCUUCAGAUCAUCAUCACCCAUUCACAGGCAACACCCAAGCCAUAAAAAGUUAAAACAAUCAGGUUAUUACACAGCUGUGUUACAAAAAACGUUUAUGGCAAUUAACAACGAGAGGGUGCAUAUCCCAAUGUAGCGCUAAUGAGACAGAGGCAGUAAAAAACAAAACAGUAUUUUAACAUGGAAUCACACGUGUAGAAAAAGACCCCAAAAACAGAACCAAACAAAAGACUGCCCUGCCACUGUCCCUGCUACCAGGCUUAAUGUUAAAGAUGUUAGUUACAGAUGUUUGUGGCCCAACACAUGCAGAAGCCAAAAGGGCCGACUCCACAGCACACCCCCAACCAAGCCACACCCAAUUCUGCAUCCGACCAUGACAGCACAUUGUGUGGUGUGCUCAUGAACCCCUAGCCGUGGCUAUUUCCUGUUUCUCAAUCAUAUUCAAAGCAGUAGUCAACAUAGGUCAUGCAGGGUCGUACAUCUCCAUUCACAACCAUGGUUGCUGGGGUUUAUUUCAUCCAAAACCUUUGCACUGUUGAGAGAGCGUUUCCAAUGCGCCCUGACCCUGCACGCAUUCUGUCCACAGGGCUGUUCUUACAUGUAAAAUUGCAAGAGGAGAAGUAGUGCCAAUGUUGAAGCAAGCCAUGAUGAUCGCCCACCCAUUUGUUUCCCAGAGUAUGAGAGGAAUACAGAGAAGUUUCCCAGGAGAAAAAUGCUCACUUUCAGAUGAUAGAA